rnacentral:rRNA from 1 species
AAGCAGGGGAUCGUAAGACCUUGCGCUUUUGGAGCGGCCGAUGCCUGAUUAGCUAGUUGGUGGGGUAAGGGCCUACCAAGGCGACGAUCAGUAGUUGGUCUGAGAGGACGACCAGCCACACUGGGACUGAGACACGGCCCAGACUCCUACGGGAGGCAGCAGUGGGGAAUUUUGGACAAUGGGCGAAAGCCUGAUCCAGCAAUGCCGCGUGAGUGAAGAAGGCCUUCGGGUUGUAAAGCUCUUUCAGUCGAGAAGAAAAGGUUGCGACUAAUAAUCGCAACUUAUGACGGUAUCGACAGAAGAAGCACCGGCUAACUACGUGCCAGCAGCCGCGGUAAUACGUAGGGUGCGAGCGUUAAUCGGAAUUACUGGGCGUAAAGGGUGCGCAGGCGGCUCUGUAAGUCAGAUGUGAAAUCCCCGGGCUUAACCUGGGAAUUGCGUUUGAAACUACAAGGCUAGAGU